UACGUAGGGGGCUAGCGUUGUCCGGAAUCAUUGGGCGUAAAGCGCGUGUAGGCGGUCCGGUAAGUCCGCUGUGAAAGUCGGGGGCUCAACCCUCGAAUGCCGGUGGAUACUGUCGGGCUAGAGUGCGGAAGAGGCGAGUGGAAUUCCUGGUGUAGCGGUGAAAUGCGCAGAUAUCAGGAGGAACACCGGUGGCGAAGGCGCUCUGCUAGGCCGCAACUGACACUGAGGGACGAAAGCUAGGGGAGCGAAUGGG
rnacentral:rRNA from 1 species